rnacentral:rRNA from 1 species
CUUUACUAUAAUCUGAUAUUGGCGUUUGAUUUUUAAUACGUAGAAUAGCUGGGAGGCUUUGAAUGGUCGCUUCAGGGCGAUUAUGAGCCGCAAUGUGAAAUACCAGUUUUUGACCAUUAGACGUCUAACCGGUGCCCAUAAACUGGGGUCGGGACAUUGUUAGAGGGUUAGUUUGACUGGGGCGGUCUCCUCCCAAAAAGUAACGGAGGACUGCUAUGGUUCCCUCAGACCGGUUGGUAAUCGGUCGGCGAGGAUAUGGCUAAAAGGGAGCUUAACUGUGAGACAUACAAGUCGAGCAGAUGGGAAACCAGGCCCAAGUGAUCCGGCGAUAGCUCGUGGGAGCGUCGUCGCUUAAGGGAUAAAAGGUA